rnacentral:rRNA from 1 species
GACAGAGGGUGCAAACGUUGUUCGGAAUUACUGGGCGUAAAGCGAGUGUAGGCGGUCUGAAAAGUCGGAUGUGAAAGCCCCGGGCUCAACCCGGGAAGUGCAUUCGAAACUGCCAGGCUAGAGUGUCGGAGAGGUUGGUGGAAUUCUCGGUGUAGCGGUGAAAUGCGUAGAGAUCGGGAGGAACACCAGAGGCGAAGGCGGCGACCUGGACAGGUACUGACACUCAACUACGAAAGCGUGGGGAGCAAACAGG